GGUUAAGCGACUAAGCGUACACGGUGGAUGCCCUGGCAGUCAGAGGCGAUGAAGGGCGUGCUAAUCUGCGAUAAGCGCCGGUAAGGUGAUAUGAACCGUUAUAACCGGCGAUACCCGAAUGGGGAAACCCAGUGUGACUCGUCACACUAUCAUUAACUGAAUCCAUAGGUUAAUGAGGCGAACCGGGGGAACUGAAACAUCUAAGUACCCCGAGGAAAAGAAAUCAACCGAGAUUCCCCCAGUAGCGGCGAGCGAACGGGGAGGAGCCCAGAGCCUGAAUCAGCAUGUGUGUUAGUGGAAGCGUCUGGAAAGGCGCGCGAUACAGGGUGACAGCCCCGUACACAAAAGCGCAUGUGCUGUGAGCUCGAUGAGUAGGGCGGGACACGUGGUAUCCUGUCUGAAUAUGGGGGGACCAUCCUCCAAGGCUAAAUACUCCUGACUGACCGAUAGUGAACCAGUACCGUGAGGGAAAGGCGAAAAGAACCCCGGCGAGGGGAGUGAAAAAGAACCUGAAACCGUGUACGUACAAGCAGUGGGAGCACAGGUUUACCUGUGUGACUGCGUACCUUUUGUAUAAUGGGUCAGCGACUUAUAUUCUGUAGCAAGGUUAACCGAAUAGGGGAGCCGGAGGGAAACCGAGUCUUAAUUGGGCGUUAAGUUGCAGGGUAUAGACCCGAAACCCGGUGAUCUAGCCAUGGGCAGGUUGAAGGUUGGGUAACACUAACUGGAGGACCGAACCGACUAAUGUUGAAAAAUUAGCGGAUGACCUGUGGCUGGGGGUGAAAGGCCAAUCAAACCGGGAGAUAGCUGGUUCUCCCCGAAAGCUAUUUAGGUAGCGCCUCGUGAAUUCAUCUCCGGGGGUAGAGCACUGUUUCGGCUAGGGGGCCAUCCCGGCUUACCAACCCGAUGCAAACUGCGAAUACCGGAGAAUGUUAUCACGGGAGACACACGGCGGGUGCUAACGUCCGUCGUGAAGAGGGAAACAACCCAGACCGCCAGCUAAGGUCCCAAAGUCAUGGUUAAGUGGGAAACGAUGUGGGAAGGCCCAGACAGCCAGGAUGUUGGCUUAGAAGCAGCCAUCAUUUAAAGAAAGCGUAAUAGCUCACUGGUCGAGUCGGCCUGCGCGGAAGAUGUAACGGGGCUAAACCAUGCACCGAAGCUGCGGCAGCGAACGUAUCACUUAAAGCGAUUCAGCGGGUUACGAUUGACGGAGCGAAGCGACGUCAAAGCGUAUACAAAGUCGAGUCGGUUUAAGGAUACGUUCGUUGGGUAGGGGAGCGUUCUGUAAGCCUGUGAAGGUGGCCUGUGAGGGUUGCUGGAGGUAUCAGAAGUGCGAAUGCUGACAUAAGUAACGAUAAAGCGGGUGAAAAGCCCGCUCGCCGGAAGACCAAGGGUUCCUGUCCAACGUUAAUCGGGGCAGGGUGAGUCGACCCCUAAGGCGAGGCCGAAAGGCGUAGUCGAUGGGAAACAGGUUAAUAUUCCUGUACUUGGUGUUACUGCGAAGGGGGGACGGAGAAGGCUAUGUUGGCCGGGCGACGGUUGUCCCGGUUUAAGCGUGUAGGUGUGUGUUCCAGGUAAAUCCGGUUCACUUUAACACUGAGGCGUGAUGACGAGGCACUACGGUGCUGAAGCAACAAAUGCCCUGCUUCCAGGAAAAGCCUCUAAGCAUCAGGUAACAUCAAAUCGUACCCCAAACCGACACAGGUGGUCAGGUAGAGAAUACCAAGGCGCUUGAGAGAACUCGGGUGAAGGAACUAGGCAAAAUGGUGCCGUAACUUCGGGAGAAGGCACGCUGACACGUAGGUGAAGUGAUUUACUCAUGGAGCUGAAGUCAGUCGAAGAUACCAGCUGGCUGCAACUGUUUAUUAAAAACACAGCACUGUGCAAACACGAAAGUGGACGUAUACGGUGUGACGCCUGCCCGGUGCCGGAAGGUUAAUUGAUGGGGUCAGCGCAAGCGAAGCUCCUGAUCGAAGCCCCGGUAAACGGCGGCCGUAACUAUAACGGUCCUAAGGUAGCGAAAUUCCUUGUCGGGUAAGUUCCGACCUGCACGAAUGGCGUAAUGAUGGCCAGGCUGUCUCCACCCGAGACUCAGUGAAAUUGAACUCGCUGUGAAGAUGCAGUGUACCCGCGGCAAGACGGAAAGACCCCGUGAACCUUUACUAUAGCUUGACACUGAACAUUGAGCCUUGAUGUGUAGGAUAGGUGGGAGGCUUUGAAGUGUGGACGCCAGUCUGCAUGGAGCCGACCUUGAAAUACCACCCUUUAAUGUUUGAUGUUCUAACGUGGACCCGUAAUCCGGGUUGCGGACAGUGUCUGGUGGGUAGUUUGACUGGGGCGGUCUCCUCCUAAAGAGUAACGGAGGAGCACGAAGGUUGGCUAAUCCUGGUCGGACAUCAGGAGGUUAGUGCAAUGGCAUAAGCCAGCUUGACUGCGAGCGUGACGGCGCGAGCAGGUGCGAAAGCAGGUCAUAGUGAUCCGGUGGUUCUGAAUGGAAGGGCCAUCGCUCAACGGAUAAAAGGUACUCCGGGGAUAACAGGCUGAUACCGCCCAAGAGUUCAUAUCGACGGCGGUGUUUGGCACCUCGAUGUCGGCUCAUCACAUCCUGGGGCUGAAGUAGGUCCCAAGGGUAUGGCUGUUCGCCAUUUAAAGUGGUACGCGAGCUGGGUUUAGAACGUCGUGAGACAGUUCGGUCCCUAUCUGCCGUGGGCGCUGGAGAACUGAGGGGGGCUGCUCCUAGUACGAGAGGACCGGAGUGGACGCAUCACUGGUGUUCGGGUUGUCAUGCCAAUGGCACUGCCCGGUAGCUAAAUGCGGAAGAGAUAAGUGCUGAAAGCAUCUAAGCACGAAACUUGCCCCGAGAUGAGUUCUCCCUGAGACUUAGAGUCUCCUGAAGGAACGUUGAAGACGACGACGUUGAUAGGCCGGGUGUGUAAGCGCAGCGAUGCGUUGAGCUAACCGGUACUAAUGAACCGUGAGGCUUAACCUU
rnacentral:rRNA from 1 species